rnacentral:snoRNA from 1 species
UGCUGGUGGUGAAGUGGCCUCUUGCGGAGCUCUGGGCCCUGCCAGGGGUAAGCU